rnacentral:lncRNA from 1 species
CUGCGGAGCCUCACGCUCCGGCCCGGGCCCGGCUGCCAACGAUGGCCCUGCGCCACCCGCUCGCGCCCUGCGUCCCCGCCGCGGCAGCUACCGGUCGCCGGGGUCCCGGGCCCAGACCCGCGUUCCCUCGCCUCCCGGGCGGGCGGGCGAGCUCUGCAGAGCAGCGGCGGUGGUGGCGGCGGCUCAUUACCAUAGACCUGCUCGCGCCGCCGCGGUCUUAAAGCGGCGACGCCCAACGCGCCGAGGAGGUGGGCCCCACCCAGCGCCCUCUUCUGCAUGGCGGCUCUAAGUCCCGGGUCAGAAGUAAAGACGACUUUGCUCGACUUCGCUCGACACUACAAAGUCUCCCCCAGAUACCAGAAGUCGUGCUCUCACUUGGAUAUCUUGGACAAAAGGACCCCUAAGCUCAUUUGGGAUACAUCUUGGGUACCACAUGUCAGGUCAGGGGAAGUGAACCAGAAUGUCCAAAGCAGCAAGAGCACUAACACUACCAGAUUCCUAGGGCCAGGGUGAGUUGGUUCCAGAGGGCCCAAGCUUCCUGGACCUUAGGACGUGUUCCUUUUUCUUUAUCCCUCCUCCCUCCUAGAUCAAUGUCCAACUGCUGUCCUCCUCCUACCCGCGGCUUUGUAACUAGCAAAUGGCCCUGUCCAUUGCACAGGACUACUGAGCCCUUCAUGGAAUGCCACCCCAGAACCUUCUGGAAGGGGUAUGAAGAACUGAUGAAUCUUCCCAUAAGUGGAGUUCACACAAGAUGUUGGGACCAAAGAACCGGGAAGAGUGAGGCUGGGCAAGCCAGAGGGCUUCUUCCUCUCAUACCCUGAGCAAUGAGGGAUGUCAGAUUGUAUGAGAGAGGAGGCCACUCUCACAUGCUAGCUAUGUGCGACCUUUCCUAGAGUGAGGGACUUGAAUAAAGUAAUGGAUUUUCAGAAGUCUCGAGGGAGGUGAUGAUAUGGUCUGAGGAGAUAGCUGAGUGGGUAGAGAGACCCCACCGAGC